UGCCCAGCAACUCCUAUCCCUACCUCCUCGCAGUGCCGGCCGGAAACUAUGAGCAACCUUAGGGAAGAUCGGGUAACCAACCCUGGUGGGAACUUUGGUCGUAGGCUGACAGGGAAGG
rnacentral:ribozyme from 1 species